AACGAACGCUGGCGGCAGGCCUAACACAUGCAAGUCGAACGAAGCCUUCGGGCUUAGUGGCGGACGGGUGAGUAACACGUGGGAACGUACCUUUUGGUUCGGAAUAACGCAGAGAAAUUUGCGCUAAUACCGAAUGAGCCCUUCGGGGGAAAGAUUUAUCGCCGAAAGAUCGGCCCGCGUUGGAUUAGGUAGUUGGUGUGGUAAAGGCGCACCAAGCCUACGAUCCAUAGCUGGUCUGAGAGGAUGAUCAGCCACACUGGGACUGAGACACGGCCCAGACUCCUACGGGAGGCAGCAGUGGGGAAUCUUGCGCAAUGGGCGAAAGCCUGACGCAGCCAUGCCGCGUGAAUGAUGAAGGUCUUAGGGUUGUAAAGCUCUUUCGCCGGUGAAGAUAAUGACGGUAACCGGAGAAGAAGCCCCGGCUAACUUCGUGCCAGCCGCCGCAGUAAUAC
rnacentral:rRNA from 1 species